AUUGAACGCUGGCGGCAUGCCUAACACAUGCAAGUCGAGCGGACGAACGGAGCUUGCUCCUCUCUUCUGCUGCCGACGGGCGAGUAAUUCCCACGUAUCUGACCUGUAUAUGGGGCUGACGUAACGUAAGGAGAGCUGAUAUCACAUCCGUCCAGAUUUUGAAAGUCGUGGUUCAACGGACCACAACCUUCUAGCUGUGACUAGGACGGAUUAGCUAGUUGGUUUGGUAAAGGCCUACCAAGGCGACGAUCCGUAACUGGUCUGAGAGGGUGAUCAGUCACACUGGAACUGAGACACGGUCCAGACUCCUACGGGAGGCAGCAGUGGGGAAUAUUGGGCAAUGGGCGAAAGCCUGAUCCAGCCAUGCCGCGUGUGUGAAGAAGGUCUUCGGAUUGUAAAGCACUGUAAGUUGGGAGGAAGGGCAGUAAGUUAAUACCUUGCUGUUUUGACGGUACCAACAGAAUAAGCACCGGCUAACUUCGUG
rnacentral:rRNA from 1 species